CCCGAUGAAGAGCGGUUUCGGAACUGAGACAUGAUGAUACCAGCUAUCGCUGAGG
rnacentral:snoRNA from 1 species